AAUACGUUGGCGUGAUCAACAUCUUGGUUUGGGAUAAUCUUUUCUUUCCUUGACCCAAAAAAUUGAGAUAUUGAUCUUUUCAGUUCUUAACUUGGGCAAUAGAUCUGGAAAUAUCUGAUUUUUGGGAGGUUCAGAUUUGGCCAAGUCAUAUUCUAUGGUCUGUUUUGGUCUCUUUAUAAAAUAUGCUUUCUUUUUUUGAGUAUUAGUAUAUCCUAAUUUAUGUUUGUGGGAAUAUUUCAAGGAGAUGGGAUCUGGGAUUGUAUUUUUAUGUUGUUUCAUUUCACGGAAAUUAAUCUUGUGCUGGUGUGUGGUUUGAUGUAGGAAGACUUUUUGAAAUAUUGAUCAGAGUGCCAAUCGGAAGAUGAUCUGAUACAUGCAUAAGCAGUUUCUAAGACCCUGGAGUCAGUGGGGUCAUGAAUGACCAUGGCAUACAUGUGUUGCAACUCUUUUCCUGAAUGAUAUAGUAAGUGGGGCUUCUCCUGUUGGUGUAACAUUUCUUCGAUUGUUUACAACAUCCAGUGAUGCAGGCCUGUUAACCAAUGCUUGAUGUUCUUUGAUGCUAAUAAUAAAGUUUAUCAGAUUGUCCCUGAAUCAGUGUCAUGCUUGUUUAGUAGAUAUGUAUGGUUGAGCUGGGCUCUUAGAGGAAGCAUAGGCUUUUAUUUUAGAAAUGCCUGUGGAAGCUUGUGGUUCUGUUUGGGCCUUUAGGGAGCAAAACUUGAUGCUUGCAGAAUUCAUGGGAACGAGAAGAUGGCUGAGAGAAGGACUGCUGAAUAAUGCAGGGGAGUGAGAAUUGGACCUGAUGCGCUGUUAUCCAAUGCUUUCGCUUAACGUGAAAGAUGCAAUGAUUCUUACAAGAAAUGAUGAAAUAUUAUGUAUGGGGUUGAAGACAGCCAGGUUGUAGCUGAUUGAGAUUGGUCCAUCGAUUAUACUUAUAUUUAGUACGAUCCCCAUGUUGCCAGUUGGAUAAUACCAAACACAUUAUGGUUUACUUGAGUAAAUAUGGUCUAACAGAAGAUAAACGAGUUUGAAAUGUAUGAGAUUGUUUGUCUGAAAGAUGGGAACUAGAAGAGGGGUUGAAGCUGCAGAUGAACAGUAAUCAAAACGGCCAAUAAGAGGGAACCAGAUCGGCUCAGGGUCAAGGCGAAGAAUCAAAGGCAGAAAUUUGCUAAUGCUGAGGAGAAUUUGAAGUUCGAAAGGGAAAAUGAAGGCUGAAACCCUCAGGCAUUGCAGAAAGGAAAUGAGCCACAUUGCCACAAGUUUGCUUUUUAUUGGAAGAACCUCAAUUCAGUUCUUGAUAGUGCUACAGGAGACUACGACAUCAGAGAAGCAUAAAAGACCAGUUGUGAAAACUUAUUCUUGCUAGUGAUUUCUUUUCCGCACGACAUCAUUAAGAGGUAUCAUUAAGCCACGGUGCGGAAGAAGACAAUAAAUAGGUGAAUCAGAUUCUCAUGGUGAUGGGAGCCUUUGUUCUUUCUUAUUUUAUUUUGAUGAACAUGGUGAUAAGAGCCUUGAUUCUGAUGAUGAAGCGAGCUCUCCAUGAGGCUUAAGAACACGUCAAAUAUUUGGAAUUGUUAAAGAAAAUAAAGCAUACAAGAUAAAUUUGAUCAAAACAUCACUUU